rnacentral:rRNA from 1 species
GACCGUCAGCUAAGGUCCCAAAAUUGUAGUUAAGUGGGAAACGAUGUGAAAAGGCCCAGACAGCCAGGAGGUUGGCUUAGAAGCAGCCAUUCCUUUAAAGAGUGCGUAAUAGCUCACUGGUCGAGUCGGUUUGCGCGGAAGAUUUAACGGGGCUAAAACUACAUACCGAAGCUACGGAUCGCAAUUUAUUGCGAUGGUAGGAGAGCGUUCUGUAAGCCGUUGAAGGUGAACUGUGAGGUUUGCUGGAGGUAUCAGAAGUGCGAAUGCUGACAUGAGUAACGAUAAAGGGGGUGAAAAACCCCCUCGCCAGAAGUCCAAGGUUUCCUACGCAACGUUAAUCGGCGUAGGGUUAGUCGGCCCCUAAGGCGAGGCAGAAAUGCGUAGUCGAUGGGAAAUGGGUUAAUAUUCCCAUACUUCAUAUAACUGCGAUGGGAAAACGGAGAAGGUUAACGCAGCUUGGCGAUGGUUGUCCAAGUUCAAGCGUGUAGAGUAGGUUCUUAGGAAAAUCCGGGAACCUUAGAUUUAGUUCUAAAGCUCAAGGCGUGAUAACGAUCCCUCUUUUGGGAGAAGUGCGUGAUACCAUGCUUCCAGGAAAAUCCUCUAAGCUUCAGGUUAUAUGAAACCGUACCCCAAACCGACACAGGUGGACGAGAUGAGAAUUCUAAGGCGCUUGAGAGAACUCGGGUGAAGGAACUAGGCAAAAUGACACCGUAACUUCGGGAGAAGGUGUACUCUUGCUGGUGAUUUCACUUGCUGAAUGAGCUGGUAAGAGUUGAAGAUACCAGGUGGCUCCGACUGUUUAUUAAAAACACAGCACUCUGCAAACACGUAAGUGGACGUAUAGGGUGUGACGCCUGCCCGGUGCUUGAAGGUUAAUUGAUGAGGUUAGGAUUCGUCCGAAGCUUUUGAUCGAAGCCCAAGUAAACGG